UACGGAGGAUCCGAGCGUUAUCCGGAUUUAUUGGGUUUAAAGGGAGCGUAGGCGGGUUGUUAAGUCAGUUGUGAAAGUUUGCGGCUCAACCGUAAAAUUGCAGUUGAUACUGGCAUCCUUGAGUACAGUAGAGGUAGGCGGAAUUCGUGGUGUAGCGGUGAAAUGCUUGGAUAUCACGAAGAACUCCGAUUGCGAAGGCAGCCUGCUGGACUGUAACUGACGUUGAUGCUCGAAAGUGUGGGUAUCAAACAGG
rnacentral:rRNA from 1 species